UCUUGGAACAAUGACCAGAAAGGAGUAAUCCAACAGCACAGAAUGAAGAUCUGAUGUUUUCUCCUUCUCACCCAAACUUCCUCCAUUUUGCUUCUCUAAAACAAAAAGCCCACUAUGCAGAGAGGUCUGGUGGCACUGGGAGCAGAACACCAGCAAAGCUAGAGCACUGCUUAUGAUAUGAUAGAGUAAAAUAUUCCAGCUUGAAGCUCUACAGGUCAUAGCUCAGCUGCAAGGAAAUGCAACUGUACUCAAAACAAAUCACAGUUGGGGAAGGGGGGAUAAAACACAUCAUGCUCUCAUCACAAUAAAAGCUACUUUGAUCCACUUUCAAAACAACGCAAUCUCACUUGCAACUCUCAUCACAGUAUGAACAGAACUAAAUAUAUUGAACAAACUAGCCCAUACUUGUCUCUUUCUCUCUUUCUCUCUCUCACU